rnacentral:rRNA from 1 species
UACGUAGGUGGCAAGCGUUGUCCGGAUUUACUGGGCGUAAAGGGUGUGUAGGCGGAAACUUAAGUAGGAAGUGAAAGGUUGGAGCUCAACUCCAACACUGCUCCCUAUACUGGGUUUCUUGAGUCCCGGAGAGGAAGAUGGAACGACACGUGUAGCGGUGAAAUGCGUAGAUAUCAAGAGGAACACCUGAGGCGAAGGCGGGUUGCUAGGCUGACACUGACGCUGAAGCGCGAAAGCCAGGGGAGCAAACGGG